AAGGCUCUCACGAACAAUCCCACUGGUGAGUGUAUCUUCUUAGUCUCCUACGUGGACCUAAGAGUGCCUAGA
rnacentral:snoRNA from 1 species